rnacentral:rRNA from 1 species
GAUGAACGCUGGCGGCGUGCCUAAUACAUGCAAGUCGAGCGCACGGACGAGAAGCUUGCUUCUCUGAUGUUAGCGGCGGACGGGUGAGUAACACGUGGAUAACCUACCUAUAAGACUGGGAUAACUUCGGGAAACCGGAGCUAAAACCGGAUAAUAUUUUGAACCGCAUGGUUCAAAAGUGAAAGAUGGUCUUGCUGUCACUUAUAGAUGGAUCCGCGCUGCAUUAGCUAGUUGGUAAGGUAACGGCUUACCAAGGCAACGAUGCAUAGCCGACCUGAGAGGGUGAUCAGCCACACUGGCACUGAGACACGUUCCAGACUCCUACGGGAGGCAGCAGUAGGGAAUCUUCCGCAAUGGGCGAAAGCCUGACGGAGCAACGCCGCGUGAGUGAUGAAGGUCUUCGGAGCGUAAAACUCUGUUAUUAGGGAAGAACAUAUUUGUAAGUAACUGUGCACAUCUUGACGUUACCUAAUCAGAAAGCCACGGCUUACUACGGG